GGGCCCGCACAAGCGGUGGAGCAUGUGGUUUAAUUCGACGCAACGCGAAGAACCUUACCAGGGCUUGACAUCCACAGAAUACUUUGGAAACAAGGUAGUGCCCUUCGGGGAGCUGUGAGACAGGUGGUGCAUGGUUGUCGUCAGCUCGUGUCGUGAGAUGUUGGGUUAAGUCCCGCAACGAGCGCAACCCCUAUCUUUAGUUGCUAACAGGUAGUGCUGAGCACUCUAGAGAGACUGCCGGUGACAAACCGGAGGAAGGUGGGGAUGACGUCAAAUCAUCAUGCCCCUUAUGUCCUGGGCUACACACGUGCUACAAUGGCCGGUACAGACGGUUGCGAAGCUGUGAAGUGGAGCUAAUCCGAGAAAGCCGGUCUCAGUUCGGAUUGUAGGCUGCAACUCGCCUACAUGAAGUCGGAAUCGCUAGUAAUCGCAGGUCAGCAUACUGCGGUGAAUACGUUCCCGGGCCUU
rnacentral:rRNA from 1 species